rnacentral:rRNA from 1 species
GGCGAAGGGAUAAGGUUUGUCCUAAUCUCUCUCUUCCCCGUACGGUUAACAUCCAGUGAGGAUUUUCUCCACAGAAAGAGAAAUAUCGCCACAUCCAUUUGCAUCAGGAGAGAGUGGACGCGCCGGUCGUUGGUUGCCUCUGCCACCGUCGGGGAGUGCAUCUACACCUGGAGUGACAGGGUCAAGCGUUGGCCGCAGGCCACCGCCUGUGGCUGUGCGGCCGCAUCGUCGAUCUUGCCGCGAGGAUAGUCGCCCCGCCUUAGGACGGGCUGCCUCGUCUGGAGCGCGUCGCCGCUGCCACCGCCGCAAGACAGAAAACACUACUGUUGCAGCGCCGUUGCUCGUGUGGGCGCCUACCGCUAUUGCCGGAGCGUCUAAUUAGACUGAAGGGCGUCGCACCAGAUCCGUUGCUGUGCCGAGAGGAGCCAGGCCGAGGGGAGCGUCGCUGCGCCGUUGCGCGCCACUGCCUCCUGUCCCGCAGUGGGGUGCAACGAUGAGACUCCGUGCGUGCCGGAGGAUGUCGCUGCGGAGGGUCGGCCAUGGCCAUAUCCUCGGCGCCGUCGAUCUGCGCGGAUGUGAUCCUUUUCUUGUUCUGCUCUUUUUGUUUGUAGUUCACGAUUGAUCAAUUCUUCGUCAGAUUCGUGUGAGCGCAUAUACAUACAGGAGAAAAACAAUUCAUUGUUAGAUUAGUAAUUGAUUGCAAGAAGACAAGAUCAGUCAAUC